rnacentral:rRNA from 1 species
CCUACGGGAGGCAGCAGUAGGGAAUCUUCCACAAUGGGCGAAAGCCUGAUGGAGCAACGCCGCGUGGGUGAAGAAGGUCUUCGGAUAGUAAAACCCUGUUGUUAGAGAAGAAAGUGCGUGAGAGUAACUGUUCACGUAUCGACGGUAUCGAACCAGAAAGCCACGGCUAACUACGUGCCAGCAGCCGCGGUAAUACGUAGGUGGCAAGCGUUAUCCGGCUUUAUUGGGCGUAAAGGGAACGCAGGCGGUCUUUUAAGUCUGAUGUGAAAGCCUUCGGCUUAACCGGAGUAGUGCAUUGGAAACUGGGAGACUUGAGUGCAGCAGAGGAGAGUGGCACUCCAUGUGUAGCGGUUAAAUGCGUAGAUAUAUGGAAGAACACCAGUGGCGAACGCGGCUCUCUGGUCUGUAACUGACGCUGAGGUUCGAAAGCGUGGGUAGCAAACAGGAUUAGAUACCCCUGUAGUC